GGGAUGGUGCUGAAGUGGACGCCGUGUGAACUUCACCAGCAAUGGCUCCAAUCUGACAUUAACGCAGUCCUAUCUAAAAUGGCAGUUGGAGAUAUACCUGAGAGAAAGAUGGAGGUGGAAGACAUGAAGGAAGAGACACUCUGGAAAGAUGGAGGGGGAGGACAGGGCUUCUAUUAAGGAGAAGGAGACCGCUGGAAAUAUGGGGCAGGAGGACAGCGCCUCUGUCCAGGAGGCCUGUAGAAAGAUGGACAACGAGGACAGGGCCUCUGAGCUCAAAGACUAUUUCACUGCUCUUGAGGAGAACCGCAGAAACAUGCAGAAUCUCCUGCAAGAGCAGAAAGAAGAGUAUGAGAUGGAGUUGAGGGCUCUGGAGAGGGAGAGUGUGCAGGAGAGAGAGAUGCGGAAUAGAAAUGAGGCCCUGAAGAGGGAGAGAGAGAUGCGGAAUAGAAAGGAGGCUCUGGAGAGGGAGAGAGAUGCGGGAAAGAGAGGAAGCCCUGCUGUCCACUUUUAUUUCCGUUGUUGUCUGCAAGGACAAGCUCAUGAAAGACCUGAGGAUCCAGAUGGACAGACCGAGUCCAUCUAAGGUGUGCGAGGCACAAUGGGGCCAUUUUCAAACACAUGGGGCCACUGGCACUGCAGUGGUCACACUCCAGGAUAAUUCUAUACCUCAACAAGUUGCGGAGAGUGACCUGCAGGGGAACAAUACUGAACUGAAGAAAAAGGAGAAAAGGGCAUACCGUUUGCAGCGUCAUUUUCUUGCAUUCUACUUCGGAAAGCGGCACGAUUAUUUUUAUUUCUGGCUUGAUUUUUUUUUUUUACACGUUUUCACUCUUACAUUUGAUCUUACAACUAGCUUCUCAUCCAAAUGUAAGUACCGAUACUUCGACACACCGUUUGCAGCAUCUUAAUUUUUCAAAAGCGGAAAAAAGCGGCUAGCCAUAACUAGAGCCAUAACUAGAACUAACCAAUCCACCAGGCCUAUACAAUGUGGAUAGAACCAGAUGUGGAACAUAUCAUUUAAAAGUGAACAUAUUGAAAAACAGCAUUUUCCUUGCUAACAGGGCCUCUGUUAGAGUGGAGGAGAUCUGUCGAAAGAUGGAAAAGGAGGACGGGCCCACUGAGCUGAAGGAGCUUUUAGAUUAUUUCACUGCUCUUGAGGAGGACCGCAGGAACCUGCAGAAUCUCCUGCAAGAGAAAAAUGAAGAAAAUGAAAUGAAGUUGAGGGCUAAGGAGAGGGAGAUGGUGCAUGAGAGGGUAGAGUUGGAGAGUGAGAUGCGGGACAGAGGAGGCCCUGCUGUGCACUUUUAUUUCCGUUGUUGUCUGAAAGGACAAGGUCAUGAAAGACCUGAGGAUCCAGAUGGACAGACCGAGUCCAUCUAGGGUGUACGAGGCACAAUGGGGCCACUGGCACUGCAGUGGUCACACUCCAGGAUGCUUAUUAAAGCGCUAUACCUCAACAAAUUACGGAGAGUGACCUGCAGGGGAACAAAAGGCUGGAGGACCGGGGCAAAGCUGAACUGAAGAAAAAGGAGAAAGCCCUUCAACAGGCAGAGAAGAAAAGAAUGCGAAUAUUCUUCUGUAAAAGAAGCAAUUGAAUAAUGA
ensembl:lncRNA